GAUCCUGGCUCAGGAUGAACGCUAGUUACAGGCUUAACACACUGCAAGUCGAGGGGCAGCAUGGUCUUAGCUUGCUAAGGCCGAUGGCGACCGGCGCACGGGCGAGUAACACGUAUCCAACCUGCCGUCUACUCUUGGACAGCCUUCUGAAAGGAAGAUUAAUACAAGAUGGCAUCAUGAGUCCGCAUGUUCACAUGAUUAAAGGUAUUCCGGUAGACGAUGGGG
rnacentral:rRNA from 1 species